UACGGAGGGGGCUAGUGUUGUUCGGAAUUACUGGGCGGAAAGCGCGCGUAGGCGGCUGUCUAAGUCGGGUGUGAAAGCCCCGGGCUCAACCUGGGAACUGCAUUCGAUACUGGACGGCUAGAGUAUGAGAGAGGGAGGUAGAAUUCCACGUGUAGCGGUGAAAUGCGUAGAUAUGUGGAGGAAUACCGGUGGCGAAGGCGGCCUCCUGGUGCAAUACUGACGCUGAGGUGCGAAAGCGUGGGGAGCAAACAGG
rnacentral:rRNA from 1 species